CCGCCACCAACAACUCUUCCUUCAACAACUCCAACACUAACAACUCUUCUUACAACAACCCCAUCACCAACAACUCCAUCACCAACAACUCUUCUUAGAACAACUCCAUCACCAACAACUCUUCCAACAACAACAACAACAACAACAACUACAUCACCAACAACUCCUCCUAUUCUCUUUGAAUACAUCAUUGUGGUUGAGUUGAACACCACAGAUGUCACUCUAAUAAAUCAACUGAGUACCAUUCUGAGAAGCAUCCGUUACCCCGUUAUCCUCAACAACGCACAAAUCCUUGAUGUAAACAUUUCUACAGUUUGCUCUCCGAGCAGUGCUGGUUACCAGUGCAGAUGUGAGGAUCAGUAUCGUUGGUCAUGUGACCAGUGUUUACAGUAUACAUCCUGUGACAACAUCACUGGUGACACAUGUGGAUGCAUCAAUGCCAUUCCUCCUGAUGGACAAUACUGCCAGCCUUCUGGUCAAAACAACAUUCCAGCUUGUAUUGCUACAA